GCCCGAUUAGCUCAGCUGGUUAGAGCGUCGUACUAAUAUCUUCACCGAGAUAUCAAGUCCAUGCGAAGGUCAACAGUUCAAUCCUGUUAUUGGGCA
rnacentral:tRNA from 2 species